rnacentral:rRNA from 1 species
GACGAACGCUGGCGGCGUGCCUAAUACAUGCAAGUUGAGCGCUGAAGGUUGGUACUUGUACCAACUGGAUGAGCAGCGAACGGGUGAGUAACGCGUGGGGAAUCUGCCUUUGAGCGGGGGACAACAUUUGGAAACGAAUGCUAAUACCGCAUAAAAACUUUAAACACAAGUUUUAAGUUUGAAAGAUGCAAUUGCAUCACUCAAAGAUGAUCCCGCGUUGUAUUAGCUAGUUGGUGAGGUAAAGGCUCACCAAGGCGAUGAUACAUAGCCGACCUGAGAGGGUGAUCGGCCACAUUGGGACUGAGACACGGCCCAAACUCCUACGGGAGGCAGCAGUAGGGAAUCUUCGGCAAUGGACGAAAGACUGACCGAGCAACGCCGCGUGAGUGAAGAAGGUUUUCGGAUCGUAAAACUCUGUUGGUAGAGAAGAACGUUGGUGGGAGUGGAAAGCUCAUCAAGUGACGGUAACUACCCAGAAAGGGACGGCUAACUACGUG